rnacentral:siRNA from 1 species
ACAAGCUGCUCGCCAAGUGUUU